rnacentral:sRNA from 1 species
AUGUGCCCCAGCCCCUGGUCCAUUCCGUUGCUUCUGCGCCGUUGGCAUCCACCUGCCAACUGCUCGCUAUGUGGUGUCAGCG